UACGGAGGGUGCAAGCGUUAUCCGGAUUUACUGGGUUUAAAGGGUGUGUAGGCGGACUUUUAAGUCAGCGGUGAAAUCUCCGGGCUCAACCCGGAAACUGCCAUUGAUACUAUUAGUCUUGAAUAUUGUUGAGGUAGGCGGAACGGGUCAUGUAGCGGUGAAAUGCAUAGAUAUGACCCGGAACACCGAUUGCGAAGGCAGCCUACUAAGCAAUUAUUACGCUGAGGCACGAAAGCGUGGGGAUCAAACAGGAGU
rnacentral:rRNA from 1 species